UGGCCAUAAGCCAGGGCUGAACUUUGGCUCUGUGCUUCUGAUUACACUGUUAACCAUGAUGUAAAAAGACAGAGUUGACUCUACAAGAUAUUCAGCUCCUUCAACACCCACUGAGAUCACUGGGCGCUUCCACUACCUCCCAGGAGUGCUCAGCAUCUUGCAGGAUUGAACCCUACAGGGGAGAUUUUCAGAAGCACCUAGGAGGUUUAGAAGCUCAAGUCCCAUUAACCCCCUCAGGCACUUUUGAAAAUCCUGCCCUAAAUUAGGAGAAUCUGACAAAAAUAGGUAAACUGGUUUGAUUUGGUAGAGGAGCACCUGGUCUCUCUCUCUGAAGGAACUGUGGCCAAUGGGAGCUGAAUGGCUGGCGACUAGGAGCUGCUGCCGAGGCGGGGGCGUUCCAGUUGCUUUGGGAGCUGCCCGAGGUUGUAGAGGAGCAUCAAACUGAGAGGAGCCAGCAGAAUGCAGAGUUUGAGACCGCAGGACAAAAGCAAGGGUUGAGUGACCAUGCUCCUGGAAAUUCCAAGUUUAAACCUCAUGCAGAAAGGCAUAAGGUGACAAGAAAUGAUGAUUAUUUUUGCAGCAGUAUAUGGGAUAGGCUGAAGUGGGGGUAGGGAGGCCAGAGAA